GCCAGGGUAGCUCAGUGGUAGAGCAUGCGACUGAAAAUCGCAGUGUCGGCAGUUCAAUUCUGCCCCCUGGCACCA
rnacentral:tRNA from 1 species